UAACUGAAGAGUUUGAUCAUGGCUCAGAUUGAACGCUGGCGGCAGGCUUAACACAUGCAAGUCGAGC
rnacentral:rRNA from 1 species